rnacentral:lncRNA from 1 species
CGGCGGUCGAGACGCUGCGCGCCCACGGAUCAGACGCGCGGUUCGUGCGAUAGGCCUCGGCGUCGGUCUCGGCGUCGGUGGGCCGGCGCCGCCCGCCGGUUCGCCCCUUGCGCGCGCCCUUGGCCCGUGAUCGCUCCUUGUGCCCGUCGGCCUUUUUCUUGUGCUUCUUCUUGCUGUCUUUCUUCUCGCCCUUUGGUUUCCUCUCCUUGUUGUUGGCGUUGGCGUCGUUGGUGUCGCCGUCAUUGUUGUCAAAGACAUAGGUGGGCAGCGACGAAAGGGUGGGCUCCGAGGUGAGGGGCGCGUCCCAUCCACACGACCAAUUGGACGCCGUGGUCGACG